AUACGUAGGGGGCGAGCGUUGUCCGGAAUGAUUGGGCGUAAAGGGCGCGUAGGCGGCCCGGCAAGUCUGGAGUGAAAGUCCUGCUUUUAAGGUGGGAAUUGCUUUGGAUACUGUCGGGCUUGAGUGCAGGAGAGGUAAGUGGAAUUCCCAGUGUAGCGGUGAAAUGCGUAGAGAUUGGGAGGAACACCAGUGGCGAAGGCGACUUACUGGACUGUAACUGACGCUGAGGCGCGAAAGUGUGGGGAGCAAACAGGAUUAGAUACCCUGGUAGUCCACACUGUAAACGAUGAAUGCUAGGUGUAGGGGGUAUCGACCCCUUCUGUGCCGCAGUUAACACAAUAAGCAUUCCGCCUGGGGAGUACGGCCGCAAGGUUGAAACUCAAAGGAAUUGACGGGG
rnacentral:rRNA from 1 species